AAUAGAUACCCGGGUAGUCCACGCCCUAAACGAUGCUCACUAGGUGUUGGGGAAGCGAUUCCUUGGUACCGUAGCUAACGCGUGAAGUGAGCCGCCUGGGGAGUACGGCCGUAAGGUUAAAACUCAAAGGAAUUGACGGGGACCCGCACAAGCGGUGGAUGAUGUGGAUUAAUUCGAUGCAACGCGAACAACCUUACCUACCUUUGACAUGUCCGGAAGCCUGCUGAAAGGUGGGUGUGCUCGAAAGAGAACCGGAACACAGGUGCUGCAUGGCUGUCGUCAGCUCGUGUCGUGAGAUGUUGGGUUAAGUCCCGCAACGAGCGCAACCCUUGUCCCUAGUUGCUACGCAAGGGCACUCUAGGGAGACUGCCGGUGACAAACCGGAGGAAGGUGGGGAUGACGUCAAGUCCUCAUGGCCCUUAUGGGUAGGGCUUCACACGUCAUACAAUGGACGGUACAGAGGGUUGCCAACCCGCGAGGGGGAGCCAAUCCCAGAAAGCCGUUCGUAGUCCGGAUCGCAGUCUGCAACUCGACUGCGUGAAGUCGG
rnacentral:rRNA from 1 species